GGUAAGGGGGUGAACUCUGACUUGAAGAAGAAAGGAAUCUGUACAAAUAAGAAUAUACCUUUUAUAGUGUUGAUAAUACUAGGUGGAAUUCUUCUAGUACUGUCUUUCGUCGUCGUCGGAAUUAUUGCUAACAGUUGAAUGUCUUUAUCAUGACCCGGUGAUUUAUGAAGCUGACAUUGACUUCCGCAUUGUUGACAAUCAGUCACGUAGCAUUUGAAGGCGGUGCCAAUAAACUGGUAGACAGCCAUGUGCACGGCUGAUAAUACAUAUCUUGGUGUAUUUUGUUAGAAAUUUAGAAGAAAAAAUAUUACAAGCUCAUUAAGGCUAUCAAAACUGCUAUAACAUUUAUUUAUUAAAAUCUUAUUUAUUUAUUCA